rnacentral:rRNA from 1 species
UACGUAGGGCGCAAGCGUUGUCCGGAAUUAUUGGGCGUAAAGAGCUCGUAGGCGGCUUGUCACGUCGGGUGUGAAAGCCCGGGGCUUAACCCCGGGUCUGCAUUCGAUACGGGCAGGCUAGAGUGUGGUAGGGGAGAUCGGAAUUCCUGGUGUAGCGGUGAAAUGCGUAGAUAUCUGGAGGAACACCGGUGGCGAAGGCGGCAUCCUGGACCGGCACCGACGUUCAGGCACGAAAGCGUGGGGAGCAAACAGG